GUGAGGAAUAUUGGUCAAUGGACGGAAGUCUGAACCAGCCAUGCCGCGUGCAGGAUUAAGGCCCUAUGGGUCGUAAACUGCUUUUGUGGUGGAGCAAUAAGACGUACGUGUACGUCGAUGAGAGUACAUCACGAAUAAGCAUCGGCUAACUCCGUGCCAGCAGCCGCGGUAAUACGGAGGAUGCAAGCGUUAUCCGGAUUUAUUGGGUUUAAAGGGUGCGUAGGCUGUUCGUCAAGUCAGAGGUGAAAUACCACAGCUUAACUGUGGAACUGCCUUUGAUACUGGCGAGCUGGAAUACGGAUGCCGUGGGAGGAAUGAGUAGUGUAGCGGUGAAAUGCAUAGAUAUUACUCAGAACACCGAUUGCGAAGGCAUCUCACGAAUCCGUCAUUGACGCUGAGGCACGAAAGCGUGGGGAUCAAACAGG
rnacentral:rRNA from 1 species